UCCUGCUCUUGAUCUUCUGCUGUGUGGUGGACUUCACUGCAGCUGGUGUCCACACUGUCUCACAGGUCUGGGAAUAUUCUCAAGUCUGAGAAGAAAUCGAGUUCUGACAUUCUCUCUGUGUGUACUGGGGUUUUCCAGGUACUCAGAUUUCCUGCCACAGUCCAACACCAGGCAGGAUUGGAGUAAUGAUUCACUCUGAGUGCAGCACAGGUGUGAAUGUGAGUGUGAAUGGUUGUUCAUGGUUAACUGUCCACAGUGUACCCACACCGUGACCUGGGGGCUGCUGGGAUUGACUCCAUCUCCCCCACUACUGCCCCUGGUAUUGGCAUGGAACCGAUACUUUAUUCAAAUACCUGUUAUGUGUACCAAUCCUGAGUUAUUGUUACCACAGAGGAUACAUGAAGAGUCUCCACCUCAACGUGUCACCUGCUGUCGAGAGGAUGAUGGUACUCUGUGUACUCUGUCAGUAUGUGUAGUGCAUUUUGAUAAUAAAUCAAUCAGCUUUAGUUAAUAAAGAGUGAAUAUUAGUAUGAGUUGGACUGUAAUGUGAUAAUAUUUGUGUUCUGUAGGAGUAACAAGAAAUGGGUCGGGGGGAAAUGACAGAGUUGUCCUUUAUUUUUUAACCUGAGCCGCUGAGGAGAGGGCGGAGCAGGUGAUAAUCAGUGACACCUGUGGACGGAAGAGCCUGAAGUUCAAACACCUGGACCAUGUGGUUCUGUUGUUUCACCUGUUUGAUGCUGGUGUUGAAUUUGAUGGAUUGCACAUGAAGAAGCAGCUGUUCUUGCCUCAUCAUCAUCAUCAUCAUCACAGUGGUCCAGGGUCAUGGAGCUACAGUCUGAGAUGUUGCAUUCAUGUCACACAGAGUCAGUUCUUGGAUUCAACAGUAUGUCAACACACUGGGGCUGAUGUCAGUGUUGCAGCAAACUCAGCAUCUAUGACUCCAAGUAAAUCUGCCCCCCGACCAUCGUUGUUAUAUUUUUGGGCUAACCUCCGAGGCCGCUCUUGGCUGUGUUUCAGUUACUCAUCCUUGGACUGUAUUAAUUGGUACAGUGUCUCUGAGCCAACUCUGAUCUGUUCUCUACAACACUUGGUUGAACUGGUUGAACAACAGUGAUAAAUCAACGGCUAAAAGCAGUUUUGUAGUAACAGCCUCAUCAUGUCUGAUAGGAUUUUGUUCUGUAGGGAUUUUGUUAAAAGUUCCAUUUUCCAUUAUUCAUAUUUUAGAUUUUCAUUUUCAAUUUUUGACACUUUUGAACUUAAGUUAUGCUUUAUUGAGCACACACACACAGAGCUUUAAAAUGUCCCAGCUACUACCACUGUUCCAGUGACUGACCUCUGAGCUGCUGUUCUUCUGUCAGAAGUUCACCCUCUCCCUCUCUGGAUCACCAGAACCACAAGUCAUUAUUUUAAUAAUUCAUGGGUGAAAGCCUGUAAAUGAUGAGCCAAGUAAGUCACCCUGAAUCAUUCUGCUGUUGCCAUAAAUAAUGUAUACUGCUGCAGAAUCCCAGGGCACCAGACACAGCAGUCUGGCCGUCCGACCGCCGCCGAGCCUCCUCCUGUUUUAAAUUCACUCCUCCUUUCGUUAAUUCCCCCUUUAACUUUGACUUUAUGUAUCAUCACGCUCCUCUUCCUCCCUUCUGUCUCUGAAACCUAUUUGUUCUCUGUCUCACUGUCAUCCAUUUAAAGUUCUUGCUGCAUCUUCGUCGUCUUGUCUGCCUGCUCUUCUUCUCACCACUCCUUUUUUCUGACCUCUCUCGCGUUCUCACCUUCGUCUUUGGUCCUUUGUAGAAGCAUCAAGGAAUUAUUUUUUUUCCCUUUCUUCUCCAGCGUGGGCUGGAGUGUGUGGAUGAUUUGUGAGAUAACACCAAGGUCAGUUCCAUCAGCUGCUGCCAUGAGAACAUCUUUCCCAUUACUUUUCUCAUACGUCCAUGGAGUAAAAUGUCAGGUCAUCACGGCCUGGUCACAUAUGCUUGGCCAUUAAGCAGUAAAGGUUUGAUGGUCAGGUGGUGCUGACAUCAUUUAAGUGCUCACUUGUCUUUUUUAGGUGUGAAGAAAAUAGCACAGUUAGAGAUGUGGUCAAUUUCAAUUUGAGCUAAACUUAAGGCAGUCAGUUAGUUUGUUAGUUAGUUAGAAAGUCCAAAUUCAUCUCAUGCAGAGCUGCAGCUGAUUAAGUGUAUGUUGUGUGUUCUCAUGAUAGGAUGUCAUGUCAAGAAGAACAAAAAGUCAAGCUAAUUUUCAGGAGUUUGUGUGAAUUAUCAGGUUAACGAAGGUGGAUUGGAUUUUGGAGCUAAUAAAAUUAACAUGAAUUUCCCGAGAGUUCUGGAAGAUACCUGGAAACAAAGGUUAGCCAAGAGAAUAGUAAAUGCUUUGAAUGGUUGGACUAAUUUAGCACUAAAACAGCUUCAGUUUUACCAGGCUGGAAGUUUGAAGUCCCUGCAGAAUAACAGUGAAUAACAACAUAAUACAUAAAAAAUCAGCAUUGGUUUCUGCAUUUCCUCCCAUUUGACAGAAUAUUUUGAAUUUAGUUUAGUUUUUAUUUACCUUAUAUAUUUGUAGCAGGUCAUAUGAAAUCCAAUCUGCCCGGUCAGUGUUAUGAUAACCAUGAUGGACAGUUUUAAUGUCCAGCGUUUUGACUAAGGAGUCUCCACUUGUGGAGAAACAGCGGUGACGUAGAGAUAAUUUGUUGUGUUAAACCUAACGUCCACUGACAUUUGUCUACUGCUGGUAACACACCAGGCCUGGCGUGUUAUGGAAACAGAGGCGAAGGUCACAGGGGUCAGCCUGUCAUGUUUGAUUAGGACCAGUGAGCUGACACAGACAGCGACCCUGGAGACUCUGCGGGUCGUUUUAGUUCCACGUUCGUGUGUGUCUCCUGAGAUGAGGUUUCAUUUCAA